rnacentral:rRNA from 1 species
AGUAACGCGUGGAUAACCUGCCUUGCACUGGGGGAUAACACUUAGAAAUAGGUGCUAAUACCGCAUAAGCGCACAGAGCCGCAUGGCUCAGUGUGAAAAACUCCGGUGGUGUAAGAUGGAUCCGCGUCUGAUUAGCUAGUUGGCGGGGUAGAAGCCCACCAAGGCGACGAUCAGUAGCCGGCCUGAGAGGGUGAACGGCCACAUUGGGACUGAGACACGGCCCAAACUCCUACGGAAGGCAGCAG